UUUAUCCUUCAUAAUCUUGCAUGUUACAUAUCACUGCUCUUUCAAUGGAAAUUAAUUCCGACCAGUACGACACCCAUGUCCAAAUUUAAUACGACCACAAAGGGUUAAUGAAUUUUGAAACCUUAAAAUGACUGC